CGACAGAGYCCGUGAUCCGGGCUGACGAAUUCAGGAUCGAUGUUUUAAUCGAUGUCGGUUUGAUGUUUCAUCAGCCACUAAUAAUAUGGACGUCGCGACCCGUUUGGUGUUGGUGUUCUAUAAGGGCCGUUGAGAAGUUCGUCUCGUUCGUUGGUAUUUAUUUAUCAACGGUUAUUAGGCGAUCCUUCGGUUUCUCGAACUAACUAGCCCGACGGUAUGUAAAAGUGGUGUCCGGUGUGUACUUUUAAUAGCGAUAUUGAAUGCAUCCGGUGCCGGUCUGCGACGAUUCUUCGGGCCUCUUUCCGACCCGUCUUGAAACACGGACCAAGGAGUCUAACGUGUGCGCGAGUCACGGGGUGUCGCCGAUUGAUAAUUUUUAUUAAUUAUUAAUCGGUGUUAUACACAAGAAACCCGAUAAUAAGGCGUAAUGAAAGUAAAAGCGCGUAUGCGCAAUGGGAAGAUGGCGUUUCGAGUACACAUUCUCAACUUUUUUUUAUUAAAAGGUAGAGACCGAACGUUCGCACUCCCGGGGCGUUCCGUAAGUCCGGCGGCUUAUUAUUCGUUCUUUUUACGAAGAGCGAAUGAUUGUCGUCGAACUGGGGCGCACUCUAAGCGUACACGUUGGUACCCGAAAGAUGGUGAACUAUGCCCGGCCAGGAUGAAGUCAGGGGAAACCCUGAUGGAGGUCCGCAGCGAUUCUGACGUGCAAAUCGAUCGUCU
rnacentral:rRNA from 1 species